UACGAAUCAUCAUUGUAAUGGCAACUUUAGCUGUCAGGGAUCCUGUUGCAGCUCUGCCUCAGCCAGUCUGUGCACAGAGCAUGGAGCACCAGGGCCAUGGAGCAUGUGGGCUAUGGAAUCGGGUUGCCUAUUUUCAUCUUGACUCCAUCACUUGCUGGGCAACCUUGAGUAACGGACUCAAACCUUUCAAAUAUUUUGAGUGGUUGGAAAGAAGAAACACAAAACAAUUCUAUUUUCUGAGUUUUAAAAAUGUCUGAACCCCUGGAAGACCCAGCCAGACCAAAUCUGCUUUUUCUCCUGGAUCCAUAAUGUACAGUGG
rnacentral:lncRNA from 10 species